rnacentral:rRNA from 1 species
AGCGAACGCUGGCGGCAGGCCUAACACAUGCAAGUCGAACGGAUCCUUCGGGAUUAGUGGCGGACGGGUGAGUAACACGUGGGAACGUGCCCUUUGGUUCGGAACAACUCAGGGAAACUUGAGCUAAUACCGGAUGUGCCCUUCGGGGGAAAGAUUUAUCGCCAUUGGAGCGGCCCGCGUCCGAUUAGCUAGUUGGUGAGGUAACGGCCCACCAAGGCGACGAUCAGUAGCUGGUCUGAGAGGAUGAUCAGCCACACUGGGACUGAGACACGGCCCAGAAUCCUACGGGAGGCAGCAGUGGGGAAUCUUGCGCAAUGGGCGAAAGCCUGACGCAGCCAUGCCGCGUGAAUGAUGAAGGUCUUAGGAUUGUAAAAUUCUUUCAGCGGGGACGAUAAUGACGGUACCCGCAGAAGAAGCUCCGGCUAACUUCGUG